AAAAAAGAAAAGAAAAAUAAAGAGAAGAGGGGUAGAUAGAAGGAAGAGACAAGUGUUGUAGCAGAAAACAAAGUGAAUUCCCGGAAACAAAUACAUUGCACUUCUUUGUUUCACCAUUGUAUCACGAAGGUCCGUGGGGAGGAAGAAGUUAGCUGGGCUGUGUUUGCUGUCUCAGUGAUUCUUGAUGACAUGUAUUAGCUGCCAACACUUGGUAUCAUUCAAUGUUUCAAAAGGCGAUACCCUUUUUGUUUCUAUUGUAUUGUUCCUUUCGUUGUUAAUUUGUCAUUUCUACAGGGGUUGUCUGGAUCUGAUUAGUAA
rnacentral:misc_RNA from 1 species